GGGCGGGUAGCGCAGUGGUCAGCGUGUUCCUGAGCGUUUCAGCGUUGUUUUCUUCUCUACCUAAGUACCUCUCUUCAGCGUUUAGCGAAAGACCUGGGUUCGAAUCCCAGCCCGCCCA